GAUGGAUUUUAAACUUUAUUUUAUAUAUAUAUAUUCUAACUAGGUAAUUAAAUCCCUCUAGAACCAGGAACGUCAAUCCGUUCCAACCGAAGCUCAACUUCACCAGUCUCCACGUUUCUCAGCCUCAAGAACAUGUCUUGAACAAUUUUCCCCUUGCUCCA